rnacentral:rRNA from 1 species
AACGAACGCUGGCGGCGUGGAUAAGACAUGCAAGUCGAGCGCGAAUUAUUCCGUAGCAAUACGGGAUGGUUUGAGCGGCGCAAGGGUGCGUAACACGUGGGUAAUUUGCCGUGAAGUUGGGGAUAACUCGCUGAAAGGCGAGCUAAUACCGGAUGUGGUUAUUGGAUGGCAUCACCUGAUAACUGAAGCUGGGGAUCGUAAGACCUGGCGCUUCAUGAUAAGCCCGCGGCCUAUCAGCUAGUUGGUGAGGUAACGGCUCACCAAGGCGAAGACGGGUAGCUGGUCUGAGAGGACGACCAGCCACACUGGAACUGAGACACGGCCCAGACACCUACGGGUGGCAGCAGUCGAGAAUUUUUCUCAAUGGGCGCAAGCCUGAAGGAGCGACGCCGCGUGGGGGAUGAAGGGUUUCGAUCCGUAAACCCCUGUCAUUCGUGAACAAUGCUCAUUAUUUAAAAGAUGAUGAGUUGAUAGUAACGGGAGAGGAAGGGAC